CCUACGGGUGGCAGCAGUGGGGAAUAUUGCACAAUGGGGGGAACCCUGAUGCAGCAACGCCGCGUGGGUGAAGAAGUACUCCGGUAUGUAAAGCCCUGUCAGCAGGGAAGAAACUGACGGUACCUGACCAAGAAGCCCCGGCUAACUACGUGCCAGCAGCCGCGGUAAUACGUAGGGGGCAAGCGUUAUCCGGAUUUACUGGGUGUAAAGGGAGCGUAGACGGCAAGGCAAGUCUGGAGUGAAAGCCCGUGGCACAACCACGGGACUGCUUUGGAAACCGUGUUGCUGGAGUGCAGGAGGGGUAAGCGGAAUGCCUAGUGUAGCGGUGAAAUGCGUAGAUAUUAGGAGGAACACCGGUGGCGAAGGCGGCCUGCUGGACUGCAACUGACGUUGAGGCCCGAAAGCGUGGGGAGCAAACAGGAUUAGAUACCCUGGUAGUC
rnacentral:rRNA from 1 species